AUUCUCUUAGUUUAUUAGAACGUAGCUCUGAAGUUGCUAAAGAAAAAGAAUA
rnacentral:tRNA from 1 species